rnacentral:tRNA from 2 species
AGCGAUAUAGUGUAAAGGUUGCACCACAGUCUCAUGAACUGUUAGAUUUGGUUCAAAUCCGGAAUUCGCUA